GUGGGGAAUCUUGCGCAAUGGGCGAAAGCCUGACGCAGCCAUGCCGCGUGAAUGAUGAAGGUCUUAGGAUUGUAAAAUUCUUUCACCGGGGACGAUAAUGACGGUACCUGGAGAAGAAGCUCCGGCUAACUUCGUGCCAGCAGCCGCGGUAAUACGAAGGGGGCUAGCGUUGCUCGGAAUUACUGGGCGUAAAGGGCGCGUAGGCGGACAGCUUAGUCAGCGGUGAAAGCCCAGGGCUCAACCUUGGAAUUGCAUUUGAUACUGGCUGUCUUGAGUUUGGGAGAGGUGAGUGGAACUCCGAGUGUAGAGGUGAAAUUCGUAGAUAUUCGGAAGAACACCAGUGGCGAAGGCGACUCACUGGCCCAAUACUGACGCUGAGGCGCGAAAGCGUGGGGAGCAAACAGGAUUAGAAACCCCAGUAGUCC
rnacentral:rRNA from 1 species